rnacentral:rRNA from 1 species
CAGUCGCCGCGGGAAUACGGAGGGUGCAAGCGUUGUCCGGAUUUAUUGGGUUUAAAGGGUGCGUAGGCGGCUAUUUAAGUCAGCGGUGAAAGACCCCGGCUCAACCGGAGCAGUGCCAUUGAUACUGGAUAGUUUGAGUGUUGGAGGGGUACAUGGAAUUGAUGGUGUAGCGGUGAAAUGCAUAGAUACCAUCAGGAACACCGAUAGCGAAGGCAUUGUACUGGCCAACAACUGACGCUGAGGCACGAAAGCAUGGGGAGCGAACAGGAUUAGAUACCCGCGUAGUCCCUGUCUCUUAUAC